AAUGAUAUGCCUGAUAAAAGGGUUAUUUUGAUAGAAUAAUUUAUGCAUUUUAAAUCAUGCUUUCAUUU
rnacentral:tRNA from 1 species